rnacentral:rRNA from 1 species
GUAAGGAAUAUUGGUCAAUGGACGCAAGUCUGAACCAGCCAUGCCGCGUGGAGGAUGAAGGUCCUCUGGAUUGUAAACUUCUUUUAUCUGGGACGAAACACUUCUUUUCUAAGAGGCCUGACGGUACCAGAUGAAUAAGCACCGGCUAACUCCGUGCCAGCAGCCGCGGUAAUACGGAGGGUGCAAGCGUUAUCCGGAUUCACUGGGUUUAAAGGGUGCGUAGGUGGGUAUGUAAGUCAGUGGUGAAAUCCCCGAGCUUAACUUGGGAACUGCCAUUGAUACUGUAUAUCUUGAAUACCGUAGAGGUAAGCGGAAUAUGUCAUAUAGCGGUGAAAUGCUUAGAUAUGACAUGGAACACCAAUUGCGAAGGCAGCUUACUAUGCGGUGAUUGACACUGAGGCACGAAAGCGUGGGUAGCAAACA